GCUUUAUUUAGGAAUAUUUAGAAGUGUGGAAUUUAAACAGAUUUGUUAUAUGUUAUGUGCUGAAAAAAUUGAACUGUCACUCAGCCUCCUCAUCAAAAGAUAUGUUGUAAACAGUCCUUAGUUUGAGACUGAUUUUCCUGUGAGACAGAAAGUUUUAGUUAUUAACCAAUGUUCAAGGCUUCUGACUGACCAAGCAUUCUGUUUGUGGUAAAAAAAAAAAAAAUUACUGUUUAAUUAUUAGAUAUGACCAAGUUAACAUGUAACCAAUUUUAGUGUUGUUAAGUUAUUGCUUACAUAAAUUUGUAAUAUAUCCUGUUUGUAUUUUUUUCCAAGUGUAUAAUGUUGGUGUGGAGUUUUCAUGACAGAAUAUACACAUUUUGUAAAUCUGUACUUUUUUC
rnacentral:lncRNA from 1 species